rnacentral:rRNA from 1 species
AACGCUAGCUACAGGCUUAACACAUGCAAGUCGAGGGGCAGCAUUGGAGUAGCAAUACUUCAGAUGGCGACCGGCGCACGGGUGAGUAACACGUAUCCAACCUGCCGCUUACUCGGGGAUAGCCUUUCGAAAGAAAGAUUAAUACCCGAUGGUAUAAAGAGUUCGCAUGUUCUCUUUAUUAAAGAAUUUCGGUAAGCGAUGGGGAUGCGUUCCAUUAGAUAGUUGGCGGGGUAACGGCCCACCAAGUCUACGAUGGAUAGGGGUUCUGAGAGGAAGGUCCCCCACAUUGGAACUGAGACACGGUCCAAACUCCUACGGGAGGCAGCAGUGAGGAAUAUUGGUCAAUGGACGAGAGUCUGAACCAGCCAAGUAGCGUGAAGGAUGACUGCCCUAUGGGUUGUAAACUUCUUUUAUAAGGGAAUAAAGUGAGGGACGUGUCCCUUUUUGUAUGUACCUUAUGAAUAAGGAUCGGCUAACUCCGUGCCAGCAGCCGCGGUAAUACGGAGGAUCCAAGCGUUAUCCGGAUUUAUUGGGUUUAAAGGGAGCGUAGGUUGACAUAUAAGUCAGCUGUGAAAGUUUACGGCUCAACCGUGAAAUUGCAGUUGAUACUGUAUGUCUUGAGUGUACAAGAGGUGGACGGAAUUCGUGGUGUAGCGGUGAAAUGCUUAGAUAUCACGAAGAACUCCGAUUG